GCUACCACCGUGGUUGUGAAGGGAGAAGUUUCACGUCCACGUCCCCUUGACCCCUUCAAGGAAACUGUCGUCGGACGUCGCGGAAAGCGCAGCCAACCUGAGUCCUGGGAUGCGCCUGAGGACUGGGAUCAGUCUUCCGUGCGGAUCCUUCCUCAUGAGGUUUGUGUGCCUCCUCUGGUCCUGAGGGAGUGCUUUGUCGUGCUAAACCCUAUCCGGUUUAGCACUGACAAGUUGGCUGCAAUGGAUCGCAUUGUUCCAUCCAAC